GAUGAAGAACGUAGUGAAAUGCGAUAAGUAAUGUGAAUUGCAGAAUUCAGUGAAUCAUCGAAUCUUUGAACGCACCUUGCGCCCUUUGGCUAUUCCGAAGGGCAUGCCUGUUUGAGUAUCAUGAACACCUCAACUCUUUAUGGUUUUCCAUGAAGGGCUUGGACUUUGGGGGUCUUGCUGGCCUUUAGUCAGCUCCUCUCAAACGAAUCAGCUUUCCAGUGUUUGGCAGCGUCACAGGUGUGAUAACUAUCUACGCUUGUGGUUUUCUGCCAGGUAAUCCUCAGUGAUGGGGAUUCGCUGGGGCUUAUAAAUGUCUCUCCUCAGCGAAGACAGCUUUGUGAACGUUUGAUCUCAAAUCAGGUAGGACUACCCGCUGAACUUAAGCAUAUCAAUAAGCGGAGGA
rnacentral:misc_RNA from 1 species